GCACAGGUCAAUGUCCGGAUGGACUCUUUUGAUGAGGACCUCGCACGACCCAGUGGCUUAUUGGCUCAGGAACGCAAGCUUUGCCGAGAUCUAGUUCAUAGCAACAAAAAGGAACAGGAGUUUCGUUCCAUUUUCCAGCACAUACAAUCAGCUCAGUCUCAGCGUAGCCCCUCAGAACUGUUUGCCCAACAUAUAGUGACCAUUGUUCACCAUGUUAAAGAGCAUCACUUUGGGUCCUCAGGAAUGACAUUACAUGAACGCUUUACUAAAUACCUAAAGAGAGGAACUGAGCAGGAGGCAGCCAAAAACAAGAAAAGCCCAGAGAUACACAGGAGAAUAGACAUUUCCCCCAGUACAUUCAGAAAACAUGGUUUGGCUCAUGAUGAAAUGAAAAGUCCCCGGGAACCUGGCUACAAGGAUGGGCAUAAUUCUAAAAAUGAACUACAAAGGGUUAAUUUUUAUUAAAUGUAUCAACAACCUUUGUGAAGUGGUUAGAAUAUGGUAAAUGACCCCAAAGUCUAUUGAGGUGAGCUUGAG
rnacentral:sRNA from 1 species